AGUGCCUAUAGCAGAGGUUAUCACCUGACCCCAUUCCGAACUCAGUAGUUAAGCCCUCUAGUGCCGACGAUAGCAGAGAUGUGAAAAUAGGGCGGUGCUUUUUU
rnacentral:rRNA from 1 species